AUAUCUCUAGAUGAAUCCUAUAGAGAAGCCAUUGCCUUCUUCGAUUUGAGCAGUCUGGGCAGAGUAUGAGGAAAAGUGGUUGAGCGCGACGGACGACGGUGACCAGGCAACAAGCACGAUGACGGACGGCGGCAGAAGCGUAGUUGAGCAAAGG